rnacentral:sRNA from 1 species
GGGACAGUGGAAGAAAACAUUGAUGUUGUGAUCUUCACUACAGGAUAUACAUUUUCUUUUCCAUUUUUUGAAGAACCUCUUAAAAGCCUCUGUACAAAGAAGAUAUUUCUAUACAAGCAAGUCUUUCCCUUAAACCUAGAGAGAGCGACAUUAGCCAUCAUCGGCCUUAUCGGCCUUAAAGGAUCCAUCUUAUCAGGCACAGAGCUCCAAGCACGAUGGGUCACAAGAGUAUUCAAAGGACUCUGUAAGAUACCUCCAUCCCAAAAAUUGAUGAUGGAGGCUACUGAAAAGGAACAGCUCAUUAAAAGGGGAGUGUUUAAAGACACCAGCAAAGACAAAUUCGACUACAUUGCCUACAUGGAUGAUAUCGCUGCCUGCAUAGGCACAAAGCCCAGUCAUCUCCUAUCUGAAUUAUUGUAUUAUCUUCUUCUUUUUUUUCAGUACCCUCUUUCUUGCCACCCUUUCCAAUGCAUCUUCUACCCUGCUACCUCAGUGAUUAUUCUAAAAUAAAUAUCUAUGAUAUGGUUUA